rnacentral:rRNA from 2 species
UACGGAGGAUCCGAGCGUUAUCCGGAAUCAUUGGGUUUAAAGGGUCCGUAGGCGGGCCAUUAAGUCAGGGGUGAAAGUCUGCGGCUCAACCGUAGAAUUGCCCUUGAUACUGGUGGUCUUGAGUUAUGGUGAAGUAACUAGAAUAUGUAGUGUAGCGGUGAAAUGCAUAGAUAUUACAUAGAAUACCGAUUGCGAAGGCAGGUUACUAACCAUAUACUGACGCUGAUGGACGAAAGCGUGGGGAGCGAACAGG